ACUCCACGACAGGUGCUGCACGGCUGUCGUCAGAUCGUGUCGCGAGAUAUCGGGUUAAGUCCCGCGACGAGCGCGACCCUCGCCCCAUGUUGCCAGCGGUUCGGCCGGGGACUCAUAGGGGACUGCCGGUGAUAAACCGGAGGAAGGUGGGGACGACGUCUAGUCAUCAUGGCCCCUACGCCCAGGGCUACACACGUGCUACAAUGGCCGGUACAAAGGGUUGCGAACCUGCGAGGGUGAGCCAAUCCCAAAAAGCCGGUCUAAGUUCGGAUUGCAGUCUGCAACUCGACUGCAUGAAGUUGGAAUCGCUAGUAAUCGUGGAUCAGCUAUGCCAUGGUGAAUACGUUCCCGGGCCUUGUACACACCGCCCGUCACGCCAUGGAAGCCGGUAGUGCCCGAAGUCCGUGAUCCAACCCUUCGGGGGGGAAGCGGCCGAAGGCAAGAUCGGUGACUGGGGCG
rnacentral:rRNA from 1 species